rnacentral:rRNA from 1 species
CUGCCGCCGGCGACCGGCGCACGGGUGAGUAACACGUAUGCAACCUGGCCGUGACAGAUGGAUAACCGGGAGAAAUCCCGCCUAAUACAACAUAAUGCCGGGAGGGGACAUCCCCUGCCGGCCAAAGGGGGCGACCCCGGUCACGGAUGGGCAUGCGGCGCAUUAGUUAGUUGGCGGGGUAACGGCCCACCAAGACAACGAUGGAUAGGGGUUCUGAGAGGAAGGUCCCCCACAUUGGAACUGAGACACGGUCCAAACUCCUACGGAAGGCAGCAG